rnacentral:rRNA from 1 species
CCUACGGGAGGCAGCAGUGGGGGAUAUUGCACAAUGGGGGAAACCCUGAUGCAGCGACGCCGCGUGUGGGAAAACGGUCUUCUGGAUUGUAAACCACUGUCCCCAGGGACGAAAAUGACGGUACCUGGGGAGGAAGCUCCGGCUAACUACGUGCAAGCAGCCGCGGUAAUACGUAGGGAGCAAGCGUUGUCCGGAAUUACUGGGUGUAAAGGGAGCGUAGGCGGGGAUGCAAGUUGGGUGUCAAAACUACCGGCUCAACCGAUAGUCGCACUCAAAACUGCAGCUCUUGAGUGAAGUAGAGGCAGGCGGAAUUCCUAGUGUAGCGGUGAAAUGCGUAGAUAUUAGGAGGAACACUAGUGGCGAAGGCGGCCUGCUGGGCUUUUACUGACGCUGAGGCUCGAAAGUGUGGGGAGCAAACAGGAUUAGAUACCCUUGUAGUC